rnacentral:lncRNA from 1 species
AUUUUUGCCCAAAAGUUUGGAGAUGCUCUUUGAUGUGAAGUAUCUUACGGAAAAAUUGUUACUUGGUUCAAUUCAGUUUUUCUGGAGUGAGGGACUUGAUUUUUUUUUUUUUUCUUUCUUUUCUUUUCCCAGUGCUGUUUGGCACAAUGAGCUUAUAUGUGUUUGGGGUUAAAAAUCACCUGCAAAGGAUGGUAGCCCAGGGUUUUGGGUGGACAGCCUGGUGGGCCUGAUUAGAGCUGUCAUUUCCUGGUCGUCACGAAAUAACCACCCACAGUAGCAUUGCGUAUGUAGUGUAGGUGAGCUUUCUUAAAGCUUUGUAUUCUCGAUUUCUUUUCCUGUAAACAUCCAGUGUACUGAGUCUGUAUCAUUCCUUAAGACAGCCCUAUAGCUUGCCUUUGUAAUCCCUUCUAUAAUGUGGAAGGAAGCACAAAGAAACUCUUAAACUCAUGUGCUCUCAAGACUAUCUCCCAUGUUUGUUUUUUUGUUUUUUUUUUUUUUUCUUUUUGGUGUUUGGGUUUUGUUUUGUUUUGUUUUUAAAUGGACGUGCGGGGAAUUCCCUUGUGGCACAGUGGAUCCGGAGUUGUCACGGCAGCAGCUCAGCAGCUCAGGUCGACACUGGCGUGGGUUCGCGAUCCCUGACCCUGGGAGCUUCCACAUGCUGCAGGUGUGGCCAAAAAAAAAAAAAAGAGAAAGAAAUGGACGUGGGUAGAUAUUGUUGUUAUCUGUGAAGCUGCCCUGACCUCUCCUGUCAUUCAUCUUUCAUCAUUCAUUCCUUCAUUCUGCAAACAUUUCGUUGAGGGCCUGCCUUGCUUGGAAAGGCCAGCUGAGAGCUUCAGGAGUUUGCUGUAGCUGAGGCGCCCUGGGAGCGGCUGGUGAACCAGGGGAUGCUAGUAGCUAAGGCUGUCCUAGGUGGAGCCGCAGUCCUCCCGAGCGGAAAGAUCAAAUGGAUCCUGGUGAUCGGCGGAGGCUCGUGGGCUUCCUGAGCACGUCUCUUCUGUCCUGGAAACCAAAAGUGCCCUUCAUUUUUGGAGACAUUUUUAAUGUCACAUCUUCUUUUUCAGACCGAGCUGUCUGCCCCAUAGGGGCUGGAAAUCCAUUACGAAGUCACUUUGCAUUAGAAUGUGGUCACCUGGGUUGGUAGGCGAUUUGCAGAGAUUUCUGGGGAUGGGGAUGGGGGUGGGGAGGAAAGCAGUCAGCCCUCUAAAAGAGCUGUCACGACAAAACACAGCAGCAGAGUGGAAAGGCGACCGCGGUGGCCGCCUUGAGGAACCGUGGAGCCGAAGAGCCGUGAACAACGCUCCUCUAUUUCAAAUAAUAUGUUUUGAAACGUAGAUGCACAUCGGACGUCAAGUUUCCUUUUGGACAAAUUAGUGACCAGCUGCAGUUAGCAGUUAGUUUCCUGUGUAGGUGACAGGAACUCUCGGAUGCAAAGAUCACCAGUGUCUCCAGGUCGGGUAUUUGAGACAGUAUGCACAUCAUAAGCACAGUUUCAAUAAAACGCAUAUUCUGUGAGGCGCGUCGCGCUUUGUCUUAUUUGGAAUUUGAGAAGAGCAAAACUUGCUGACAAACCAGUGCCUAUGUCGUCAACAUAAACACACAAGAUCGCUGUUCCUGCGCAGGCAGCCUUUGCUUUCACAAAGGGUACGUUUCUGCUAAACCUGACUGAAACGAACGCUCAGUCUCACACUCCCUUUCGUGUUUAUUUUGGCAGCUGCAUUUUGAGCAUGACCACUCAUUUUUUUCCCCCAACUAAUGAAAAUAAUUUUGCAUGGCCUCCACCUAAACCCAGAAAGCAUGCUCUUACUAUCUAUGCAAGCAAUUAAUAAGAAAUACAGACUACUUAACACUCAAUGUAAGGGUUUAAAAAAAAAAAAAAAAGACAACGCUUAGAUUAUGGAGCUCUAUUUUUGUAAUUUUUUAAAUAUGGCUUAAUCAGUAUCAAGAGCAUGAAUGUGCUUUCGUGUUUGGAUUUCUUGUUUGGCUUUGCACAUGUUUCUCUGCCGAUUUUGGUUUUUGGAUCACAGGCAAGCUUGUGUGUAAAGUGCAUAUUUUGCAAACAGGAGUGGAAUUGGGUUAUGUUGAACACACACUGGUUUAUAAUACCGUGUCUUUAGCCUGAAGACUUUCCUAAAGAAUUUUGUUCUAAAAAUAACCUGCCAUUUUUUAUAGAUCUUCAUUUUUUAUAUCUUCUAGGGUUCUCUCGUGGUCACAAGGGAAGAAUGUGGCUUCUAAUAGUGCUAACAAUUUUCAAACACUUUUGUAGAGACUUAGAGCUGUUCUGGAAAGCUUCGGAGCUUCCCAGCCACGGGUCACGAGGACGCUGUGGAGCUUGCGGUAGCGUUGACAGUGGACUUGGUUCUAGAGUCACCUCACAUUCAUAUGAAACCAGUGUUUCCCGAUUUGGGGGAGCAGGCAGAUCUCUCACAGCCUUUUUCAAACCUCACACGUGUACUCUCCCCUGGGUUCUGUCAAGCCUUUUCUGCAGUCUUGAGAUUCUGGUACCCAACACCCACUAGAAUCAUCGAGGGAACUUUAAAAAAACGCCUGGGUCCCACUCCCCAACUUUUGAUCUAGUUAGUGUAGGGCAGGGCCCAGGAAUUCCCGUAUGCAUGUAAAGCUCCUAGCUCUUUCUGCUUUGCAGUCAGACCUGAGAACCGCUGUGGCAACACCCUGCCUUGGCUGAGAACUGCCGUGGGAAGGCCCCGGGAGCGACUCUUGUUUCCUCUGUUGCUUUGGAGAAAGAAGAAAAGAUGGUGAGCUUCUGACAUCAACCCUGUCUGAGACAAGGGGGGCUUCUUCUGCUUCGAGCUCUGAUUCAGGAGCUCAGAGCUUGCCCGCCUGGUGGGAGCCGGGGGUCUUGAGUUUGCUGGAACCAGCAGGAGUGUCCAGGGCGGGGGUGGGGGUUGCAUCCUUCCCAGGACUUUUUCUCUGGGCCAGACCCUUGCAGGAGGAAGGCAGUCGUCCAGAAAUGCUGAGCCAAGGCUUCCAGUGGCUUUGGAAAACCCGUCCUUGAUUUCAAUAAACCGAUGGUCACUUUGUAGUCAUUAUAAUAGCAAACCCUAGGCUGCUGCCCAGUGUCCUUCCUCUGUAGCUCACUCUGCUGUCUAGAAUGAAGUUUCAGGACUUUUGCUUUCUUUCUUUCUGUCUGUCUGUCUUUUUCGUUUAAAAGUGAAUGUGAAGCAUUUUAUGGGGGGUCUUUUUUUUCUUUGGCACCCUGGGUAUUUUUUUCAUGUCUUUAAAAAAAUCAAAUCAUAGUGCGCCCCACCUCGGGCCGUCUCUGUCACCUAUGGAGGCAGAUGAAAUUUAGUUUUAAUCUGUGGUGAGCUGAGUGCAUGACAAUGUCUUCACGAUAAGCUGCUGUGCUCCUCUGGCGGUUUCCCCCUGUGGAGGAGGAUGCUGUCU